rnacentral:lncRNA from 1 species
UUCUCACUCCCAACUCGUCAUAUACUGACGCUUGGUCAGGAACCCUCGGCGUAAGUUAUUGACGCAUAGGGUACCCCUUUAGCGUCAUAUUUAGACGUGCAGGGAUUCCCUAUAGAAUCUGUGCCUGAGCCUGAGGCGUCAUAGGGAGACGCUGGAGGCUCGUAUAAUUACCAAUAGAUGUCAACGCAAUUUUUAAAACCUGAUUUACGCCUAUUAUCUUAGUUUUCUUUUUUUAAAAAUAUGUAAUUUUUAUUUUGUUCACGAAAAGCGUCUGUAAACUGGGUCGAAACUACUGUAUGAAUAAACUUCGGUCCACGUGACAUCCCUUCACGUCUAUGCUCGCUAUCCCAAGGUUCAUUGCGAUCCCAAGCUUCACUGCGGUUUUCCACAAGCUCAUAGGAACUCCAAUCUUCCCAACUGUGAAAGGGCCUUGCUCCAGUGACUGUCAGUGAAAUGGAGUGAGGCAUACAAGGAUAUGUGUGGUUUUAGUCUUGGGAAGGAGGUUGAACAGUGCAAUAUUUCUUCUAUAGGAUUGCAGUGACCAGACAUGCUAUUGUAACUCUCAUGGUCAUGUGCUGGAAUUAGCAGAUAUUCAACAAUUUGGCCAUCUCGCCGACCUAUUGAUAUCAGAAGACCGCAGCAGCUCUGCAAAGCAAGUUGCAAAACAGAAUCCAUGAAACUGGUAGUGACUGG